rnacentral:rRNA from 1 species
AAUGAACGUCGGCGGCGUGGAUUAGGCAUGCAAGUCGCGCGAGAACCCGCAAGGGGGACAGCGGCGAAAGGGACAGUAAUGUGUAGAUUAUCUGCCCUCAGGUCCGGGAUAGCUGCGGGAAACUGCAGGUAAUACCGGAUAACAUCUCCGGAUCAAAGGUGUGAUUCCGCCUGAGGAUGAGUCUACAUCCUAUUAGCUAGUUGGUAGGGUAAUGGCCUACCAAGGCUGUGAUGGGUAGCGGGUGUGAGAGCACGACCCGCGUCAUUGGGACUGAGACACUGCCCAGACACCUACGGGUGGCUGCAGUCGAGAAUCUUCGGCAAUGGGCGCAAGCCUGACCGAGCGACGCCGCGUGUGGGAUGAAGGCCUUCGGGUUGUAAACCACUGUCAGAGGGGAUGAAAUGCGGGUGGGUUCUCCCAUUCGUUUGACAUAGCCUCAGAGGAAGGACGGGCUAAGUUCGUGCCAGCCGCCGCUGUAAAAC